CCUGCCGGGCGCCCCCUCACGCAGCGCGGGCCCGCGGCGGCGGCAGGAGCAGCAACGCCCGGUCGGUGGCCCCCGCCCUCGAGGGCACUCGCGACCCCCUCUUCCCUGCAGAGCGCGCGGUGUCCAGGUUUUAUUUAUUUAUUCAUGAGAGACACAGAGAGGCAGAGACAUGGCAGAAGGAGAAGCAGGCUCCAUGCAGAGAGCCCGACACGGGACUCGAUCCCAGGACCCCAGGAUCACGACCUGAACCGAAGGCAGAUGCUCAAUCACGGAGCCACCCAGGCGCCGCAGGACUCCAGGGUUCUGCAGAUAUAGCUGGAGGGUUAUCAAUUUCACAUUAAAAACAAAAACAAACAAAUGUA